rnacentral:rRNA from 1 species
UCAUUCUAGAAACACUUUCCAGUACCUCUACUUUGUUACGACUUAUUCCAAUUUUUAAAUGAAAGCGACUGGCAAUAUGUACAUAUUUUAAUUUUUAAUCAUUUUAUUAUAUUAAAUAAAAUUACAUUUAAAUCCACCUUCAUUUUAAUAUUACAAAAAAAAUCCAUUUAAAUAUAUUUAUUGUAAUCCAUCAUAUUCUUAAUUAUAUUCUACAUCUUGAUCUGAAUUAAUUUCUAUUAAUAAUUUUUAAAUAUUAUUAUUAUUUAAAAAUAUUUUUUUAACAACGAUAUAUAAAAUUUUAAAUUAAGUAAAUUUAAUCGUGGAUUAUCAAUUAUUAGACAGAUUCCUCUANAUGAACUAAAAUACCGCCAAAUUAUUUAAGUUUCAAUAAAUUAUUAUUUACUAUUUUAGUAUUUAUAAAUUAAAUUUUA